UAAUGAACAAUUCUUGGGUUCAU
rnacentral:snRNA from 1 species